rnacentral:lncRNA from 1 species
CAUUUGGCGGACAGAGCCUCAAGUUUGGAAAGGGCGGGCAGGCCCAUCGGUGCUGCUGUGUGGCUGAUCGGACCGGCCACUCAAUAUUGCACACCUCAUAUGGGAGGUCUCUGCAAUAUGAUACCAGCUGUUUUGUGGAGUAUUUUGCCUUGGACCUCCUGAUGGAGAACAGAGAGUGCCGUGGUGUCAUCGCACUGUGCAUACAGGACGGGUCCAUCUGUCGCAUAAGAGCAAAGAACACUGUUGUUGCCACAGGGGUUCCUGCUACCUUGGAAACAAAGGCGG